UACAGAGGGUGCAAGCGUUGUUCGGAAUCAUUGGGCGUAAAGCGCACGUAGGCGGCCUGCUAAGUCGGAUGUGAAAGCCCAGGGCUCAACCCUGGAAGUGCAUUCGAAACUGGCGGGCUUGAAUGUCGGAGAGGGCAGUGGAAUUCCGAGUGUAGAGGUGAAAUUCGUAGAUAUUCGGAGGAACACCAGUGGCGAAGGCGACUGCCUGGACGAACAUUGACGCUGAGGCGCGAAAGCGUGGGGAGCGAUCCGG
rnacentral:rRNA from 1 species